GUUACAUAAAAGAAGACUACAUCGAAGCAGGAAAGAAUACUUAUCCGUUUCUUAACUUCAGCGUUAGAAUACAGCAGAAAAAUAUGAGGACCUUUGUUAUUUUAGUGGCUGUAUUAGGCUGUUGUCUAGCUGACCCCUGUAACCAUAAUAACCAUGCUGAUUUAACUGAAGAACACGUCAUCAGCAUGGUGGUCGCUGAUGCAGAUCAUAAUGAUGAUGGGUUGAUCACAGAGAUUGACGUGGCUGAAUAUUUUAUCGUUAAUUUUGAUCAUAACAGGAACCAGAAAGUAGAAGAAGACGAAUUUGUUCGUCAGUGGCACAAUUCAUUCCAUGAUGCAGAAGCUUUUGCCCAGCACGUUUUCCAUCAUAUUGAUACUGAUGAUAAUGGUGUACUGGAUCUCCAUGAUGUCGACCCGCUCAUUAAACGGGCCGAUACUUCAGGUGAUGGAAACAUCCAGAUUGCAGAAUUCAAGGCUUACCUUAAAGCAAUAUAUAACGCCUGUUGAGAAAACAGCAUAUUGUGAUAACAUUUAUAUAUAGAAUUAUUUAGUUUAAUAAAAGUUAGAUAACGCUG